rnacentral:rRNA from 1 species
AUUGAACGCUGGCGGCAUGCCUUACACAUGCAAGUCGAACGGUAACAGGUUAAGCUGACGAGUGGCGAACGGGUGAGUAAUGUAUCGGAACGUGCCCAGUCGUGGGGGAUAACUGCUCGAAAGAGCAGCUAAUACCGCAUACGACCUGAGGGUGAAAGCGGGGGAUCGCAAGACCUCGCGCGAUUGGAGCGGCCGAUAUCAGAUUAGGUAGUCGGUGAGGUAAAGGCUCACCAAGCCGACGAUCUGUAGCUGGUCUGAGAGGACGACCAGCCACACUGGGACUGAGACACGGCCCAGACUCCUACGGGAGGCAGCAGUGGGGAAUUUUGGACAAUGGGCGCAAGCCUGAUCCAGCCAUGCCGCGUGCGGGAAGAAGGCCUUCGGGUUGUAAACCGCUUCUGUCAGGGAAGAAAAGGUUCUGGCUAAUACCUGGGACUCAUGACGGUACCUGAAGAAUAAGCACCGGCUAACUACGUG